rnacentral:rRNA from 1 species
UACGAAGGGGGCUAGCGUUGUCCGGAAUCACUGGGCGUAAGGGGCGCGUAGGCGGCCUGGCAAGUCGAUGGUGAAAGCCCGAGGCUCAACUUCGGGUCGGCCACUGAUACUGCUAGGCUUGAGUCGACUAGAGGCAGAUGGAAUUCCGGGUGUAGCGGUGGAAUGCGUAGAGAUCCGGAAGAACACCGGUGGCGAAGGCGGUCUGCUGGGGUCGAACUGACGCUGAGGCGCGACAGCGUGGGGAGCAAACAGG